CAACUGGUCCAAUAUGUUCUAUUAUUUUAUAUGGCCCGAUAUAUCUUGGACUCAAUUUUUACUUUUUCCCAAACCGCAAUAUACCCUUCCAAUGAGAAACUUUAAGGAAUCCCUUCUCACACACAUUGAAAAUCACCUCUCUAUGCUUUGGAUCUAAAUACUUUUUCUGUCUAUCUUGUGUUGGUUUUAAUUUUUUUUGAUUAAUCUAUCCUAAUCUGUAAUAAUCUGCACUAUCUC
rnacentral:lncRNA from 1 species